AUUUGAUGUUGGGGACAUCUGGUGCACAAUUUGUUGAACCGCUCCCAAUGCUCAUAUAAGAUCUCCCUUGGUUGCUGCUUAAUGUCACAUAUAUCUUUUCUCAAACU